UGCAUCGGCCAGGAAUUGAACCCUGGCCGCCCGCGUGGCAGGCGAGCAUUCUACCACUGAACCACCGAUGC